ensembl:lncRNA
CACAACUGGAGGAGCCACGAGAUCACAAGUUGGCAUCAUCAGACUCGUUUCCUGAGUUUUGUUCCAAACGAUGAGAAAAGUACGUGGCUGGUGGGAGAACAGGGCGGGGCUUUGUGCCUGGGGUUUGUGUUCUCGAUGGGUCCACAUUGUGACAUCCGUGACUCGUUUGGACACCUGAGACUCUGUUCAGAUGAAGAGGAGGAGCGAGGAGUCCUCAUCACUGCAGCCACCAUCGACAAAGAUUUCCUUGUGUGUGGAGACGUUAAAGGAAACAUGUGGUUUAACUUUUCUGCAGACAUGUCAUCUCAGAGAGACCGACAACCAGCGCACGCCGAGAGGAUCACAGCCCUGAGACUGACGCCAGACGCCAUCGUCUCCGCCUCCCUCGACAAAACCAUCAAAGUCUGGGACCGAAGAACCAAGAAACAGUUGGGGAUGUUCGUUUGUGUUGCGCCCGUCGUUCAUUUGGAGAUUGAUCCUGAAGACAAAACCAAACUGGUUUGUGGAGACCGACUCGGAAACAUCUACUUCCUGUCCUGGACACAAUAAAGACCUGAACAUCCUGCGGCGUGACCCCGGCGUGACCCCGGCGUGACCCCGGCAUGACCCCGGCAUGACCCCGACUUAAACACUGCAAAAACAACAGCUCCUGUUAAAACUGCUUGAAUCAAUAAUGAGGAUAUUUAUCAUGACCUGGACAUAAACCACAGACAGAGCUGAAACAGUGUCUCCUCUGUCCUCUCUGUGUCCCCUCUGUCCUCUCUGUGUCCUCUCUGUGUCCUCUCUGUGUCCCCUCUGUCCUCUCUCUGUGUCCUCUCUGUCUCCUCUGUGUCUCCUCUGUGUCCUCUCUCUCUGUCCCCUCUGUCCUCUCUCUGUCUCUGCUGCUUCAGACUCAUUCUGGUCUUAAAUGUUCGUAUUAACCCUCUACAUGAUCCUGGGGUUUUUAUUUCACUAUUGUGUCUGUAAAUCAAGAUCUGAACAUUAAUAACAGACAAAUCAGGUCCUUCUUUCUUAUAUAUAAAUACACACACACAGGUUUACACACACACACACCCCCCCACACACACACACGGAACAGAACACAAAGAACAACAUUUAAUGUGAAACAUCAGUUUCUACAUAAAGAGUUUUUCCUGGUAUCGGUUCCGUGUAAAGUAUCAAGUCUUAGUAUCGAGACUUUUCUGCAUCAAGUGACUGAUAAACUGAUAAACUCAGUGUGUUCUUAUUAUUUGAAGUAGUUCUCAUUAGAAAAGAACCUUUAGUUCAUGUUGAGUUGUUAAUAUUAAUAUUUAAAAAAUGUAAAAUGGAUUUUGUCGCCUGUAGCUUAAUUGUCUC